GAUGAACGCUGGCGGCGUGCCUAAUACAUGCAAGUCGAACGAAACUUCUUUAUCACCGAGUGCUUGCACUCACCGAUAAAGAGUUGAGUGGCGAACGGGUGAGUAACACGUGGGCAACCUGCCCAAAAGAGGGGGAUAACACUUGGAAACAGGUGCUAAUACCGCAUAACCAUAGUUACCGCAUGGUAACUAUGUAAAAGGUGGCUAUACUACCGCUUUUGGAUGGGCCCGCGGCGCAUUAGCUAGUUGGUAGGGUAAAGGCUUACCAAGGCAAUGAUGCGUAGCCGAAUUGAGAGGUUGAUCGGCCACAUUGGGACUGAGACACGGCCCAAACUCCUACGGGAGGCAGCAGUAGGGAAUCUUCCACAAGGGGCGAAAGCCUGAUGGAGCAACGCCGCGUGGGUGAAGAAGGUCUUCGGAUCGUAAAACCCUGUUGUUAGAGAAGAAAGUGCGUGAGAGUAACUGUUCACGUUUCGACGGUAUCUAACCAGAAAGCCACGGCUAACUACGU
rnacentral:rRNA from 1 species